rnacentral:tRNA from 1 species
AAAAUUUUAAGUUAACUUUAAACUUUUAACCUUCAAAGUUAAUAAUAAAAGUAUAUAAUCUUUUAAAUUUUA